UUAACUCAAAUUUGUAUGGAGUUGGAAAGUUUUCCUACGUUUGGGACGCUCUUUCAAUUGCAUACAAAUUUGAUUUA
rfam:Bombyx mori DNA, contig: Bm_scaf28_contig18104, strain: p50T/Dazao, build 2, whole genome shotgun sequence.